rnacentral:tRNA from 1 species
UCCCUCAUAGCUCAGUCGGUUAAGAAGCUGCCUGCAAUGCAGGAAACCCAGGUUCGAUUCCUGGGUUGGGAA